rnacentral:rRNA from 1 species
UUGGAGGGCAAGUCUGGUGCCAGCAGCCGCGGUAAUUCCAGCUCCAAUAGCGUAUAUUAAAGUUGUUGCAGUUAAAAAGCUCGUAGUUGAAUUUCGGGAUUAGUACGUUGGUCGUGCCUUAGGUACGUACUGGUGUUACUGGUUCCUACCUACUGACGAACCAUCAUGUCAUUAAUUUGGUGUGGUGGGGAAUCAGGACUGUUACUUUGAAAAAAUUAGAGUGUUUUAAGCAGGCUCGCGCUUGAAUACAUUAGCAUGGAAUAAUGAAAUAGGACGUUGAUCCUAUUUUGUUGGUUUCUAGGAUUGACGUAAUGAUUAGUAGGGAUAGUUGGGGGCAUUAGUAUUCAAUUGUCAGAGGUGAAAUUUUUGGAUUUAUUGAAGACUAACUACUGCGAAAGCAUUUGCCAAGGAUGUUUUCAUUAAUCAAGAACGAAAGUUAGGGGAUCGAAGACGAUCAGAUACCGUCGUAGUCUUAACCAUAAACUAUGCCGACUAGGGAUCGGAUGAUGUUAUUUUUAAUGACUCAUUCGGCGCCUUACGGGAAAC